rnacentral:rRNA from 1 species
GAUGAACGCUAGCUACAGGCUUAACACAUGCAAGUCGAGGGGAAACGACAUCGAAAGCUUGCUUUUGAUGGGCGUCGACCGGCGCACGGGUGAGUAACGCGUAUCCAACCUGCCCACCACUUGGGGAUAACCUUGCGAAAGUAAGACUAAUACCCGAUGAUAUCUCUAGACGACAUCUGAAAGGGAUUAAAGAUUUAUCGGUGAUGGAUGGGGAUGCGUCUGAUUAGCUUGUUGGCGGGGUAACGGCCCACCAAGGCAACGAUCAGUAGGGGUUCUGAGAGGAAGGUCCCCCACAUUGGAACUGAGACACGGUCCAAACUCCUACGGGAGGCAGCAGUGAGGAAUAUUGGUCAAUGGACGGAAGUCUGAACCAGCCAAGUAGCGUGCAGGAUGACGGCCCUAUGGGUUGUAAACUGCUUUUANGUGGGAAUAAAGUCAGGGACGUGUCCCUGUUUGCAUGUACCACAGGAAUAAGGACCGGCUAAUUCCGUG